rnacentral:rRNA from 1 species
GACGAACGCUGGCGGCGUGCUUAACACAUGCAAGUCGAACGGAAAGGCCCUGCUUUUGUGGGGUGCUCGAGUGGCGAACGGGUGAGUAACACGUGAGUAACCUGCCCUUGACUUUGGGAUAACUUCAGGCAACUGGGGCUAAUACCGGAUAGGAGCUCCUGCUGCAUGGUGGGGGUUGGAAAGUUUCGGCGGUUGGGGAUGGACUCGCGGCUUAUCAGCUUGUUGGUGGGGUAGUGGCUUACCAAGGCUUUGACGGGUAGCCGGCCUGAGAGGGUGACCGGCCACAUUGGGACUGAGAUACGGCCCAGACUCCUACGGGAGGCAGCAGUGGGGAAUAUUGCAAAAUGGGCGGAAGCCUGAUGCAGCAACGCCGCGUGCGGGAUGACGGCCUUCGGGUUGUAAACCGCUUUCGCCUGUGACGAAGCGUGAGUGACGGUAAUGGGUAAAGAAGCACCGGCUAACUACGUG